CAUCUACUCCCUCCAUCCGGAAUUACUUGUCACAAAAAUGGAUGUAUCUACAACUAAAAUACAUCUAGAUACAUUCAUUUCUUGGACGAGUAAUUCCGAACGGAGGGAGUAAUAA
rnacentral:pre_miRNA from 1 species